rnacentral:rRNA from 1 species
AGAGUUUGAUCCUGGCUCAGGACGAACGCUGGCGGUGUGCUUCACACAUGCAAGUCGAGCGAAUGAAGUAGGUAGCUUGCUACUUAUGGAUUUAGCGGCGGACGGGUGAGUAAUAUAUAGGAAUCUGCCUUAGAGCGGGGAACAACAGACCGAAAGGUUUGCUAAUGCCCCAUAGGUAUGCAGUCUUCGGAUUGUAUAUUAAAGGAGUAAUCCACUCUAAGAUGAGCCUGUAUCCGAUUAGCUAGUUGGCGGGGUAAAGGCCCACCAAGGCUACGAUCGGUAGUUGGUCUGAGAGGAUGAUCAGCCACAAUGGGACUGAGACACGGCCCAUACUCCUACGGGAGGCAGCAGUGGGGAGUUUUACACAAUGGGGGAAACCCUGAUGUAGCGACACCGCGUGAACGAAGAAGCCUUUUGGGGUGUAAAGUUCUGUCGGCUGGAACGAAAAAAAUGACGGUACCAGCAAAGGAAGCAUCGGCUAACUACGUGCCAGCAGCCGCGGUAAGACGUAGGAUGCAAGCGUUGUCCGGAUUUAUUGGGCGUAAAGAGUUCGUAGGCGGUUAUUUAAGUCUGAUGUUAAAUACUGUGGCCCAACCACAGAACUGCAUUGGAUACUGGAUGACUUGAGUGCGGUAGAGGCAAGUGGAAUUCCCAGUGUAGCGGUGAAAUGCGUAGA